GUAAUGCUGCUGCUUAGCCAGAUUUGGGAACUUCUUUAAAGUAUGAGACAGCUUUAAAGAAUUUGCAAGAAUAUUUGCAUUUUUCAAAGGAGAAAAUAAAUCUUUCAAAUGAAGCAUUUCCACUCAGAAUUUUUCCGUUAUGUGGGUGGUUUGAAAAGGUAUGCUGAGGAGGGGCACUUCCUAACACCUCAGAAAUCAGGACAGGAAGUGAGCUACUUACUUUGCUUUCUCAAAAGUGUAUUCUUUCUUACAUAUGCACCAUGCAUGGACCUUGAUUAAAUUUUUUAUCUGAAAAAAAUAAGUCAGUAGGCUAUUUACCGACACCCCCCCCCCAAUAGAACACAGCCUGCAAAACAAAACUCCUUAAAAUCUUAGUUUCAUCUCUUCUGAUAGUUGCAUGUCUUGGGGAAAAUAUUUAGCCAUUUUGAGACUUAGUUUGCUUGUCCACUAAAUGCACAUACCCAUAUAUAUCCCAUGGGAUUGGCCCAAGGAUGAUACAAACUUUUGUGGGUGGUUUGGCCUAGUAGGUGUGCAACAAAUGUAACUAACGUUCCUUUUAAAAGAACAUAAUCACUGACCUGUAACCUGAACCAUAUCAACUUCCUAUGCAACAGAGUACACCAUCUUGUGUUCCAUUAUUUUUAAAUGAUGCUAUGUAAAAUAAUAUUCUAUGGACAAACUUGUUUGGCAAAUAGUGGAGAACACUUGUCUCAUUGGGAGAUCUUCACAAUAUGCAGUUUAGAAAUCUCAAAAAAUUUUUCAUGAAUAAAAUUUUCUUUAAUUCAUCAUUACUAUAAAUGCAUGUGACUAUGGACCUUUUUGGUCAUGGGACAUCAAUGAAUAUCCUAGAAAUAGUAUCCCAAGAAGCACACUAUGGCAAAAGAUUCUCUUUGCCAUUAAUCUAUUAAAAAUAUAUGAUUUAGUUUCUAGGCAAAUGGAGACAGUACAAAAUAAAACCUCAAGGUAUAGAUUUUAAUUAUAAAUAGAUGUGAAUCACAUUGUAAUGGAGUAGCAGAUAUAAAAUUCAUGUAUAAGAUCCCACGUAUAGAUGUUGUAUAGCUAUUUUUUGUUCUGUUUGCAUAUGUAAAUAUGCACAUGUAUAUAUGUUUUACUGUGUAUGUCUUUAAAUGUAUGAGUUUGUGUCUACGUGUAUGUAUAAAAUUAGGAAUCUCUUCAUGUGAUUACUAUAUCAAUUUGUGAAUAGUAUAUGAAAUGCAAUUCCCUGUUCAAUAAAAAAGGAUUUAUAAUCA
rnacentral:lncRNA from 1 species